CCAAUAGCGUAUAUUAAAGUUGCUGCAGUUAAAAAGCUCGUAGUUGAAUUUCGGGACCAUCAUGUCGGUCGUGCCUCGGUACGUACUGGCAUUGUUGGUUUCUACCUUCUGACGAACCAUGAGGUCAUUUAUUUGGUGUCGUGGGAAAUCAGGACUGUUACUUUGAAAAAAUUAGAGUGUUUAAAGCAGGCUCACGCUUGAAUACAUUAGCAUGGAAUAAUGAAAUAGGACGUUUGAUUCUAUUUUGUUGGUUUCUAGGAUCGACGUAAUGAUUAAUAGGGAUAGUUGGGGGCAUUAGUAUUCAAUUGUCAGAGGUGAAAUGCUUGGAUUUAUUGAAGACUAACUACUGCGAAAGCAUUUGCCAAGGAUGUUUUCAUUAAUCAAGAACGAAAGUUAGGGGAUCGAAGACGAUCAGAUACCGUCGUAGUCUUAACCAUAAACUAUGCCGACUAGGGAUCGGAUGAUGUUAAUUUUUUAAUGACUCAUUCGGCGCCUUACG
rnacentral:misc_RNA from 1 species